rnacentral:rRNA from 1 species
UACGUAGGGUGCGAGCGUUAAUCGGAAUUACUGGGCGUAAAGCGUGCGCAGGCGGUUUUGUAAGCCCGAUGUGAAAGCCCCGGGCUUAACCUGGGAAUGGCAUUUGGGACUGCAAGGCUGGAGUGUGGCAGAGGAGACUGGAAUUCCUGGUGUAGCAGUGAAAUGCGUAGAUAUCAGGAGGAACACCGAUGGCGAAGGCAGGUCUCUGGGCUGACACUGACGCUCAUGCACGAAAGCGUGGGGAGCAAACAGG